AUUUAUUUUGAAGGCCUAGACCUGCCAGGAGCCAUGUUCCCUUUUCUGCUUCUCGAGGUGGAAAAGGUUCUGGUGGUGGAUUUUGUGCAAAAAGGAUUUGGAGCAUGAUCUGAAACACACCAUGGCCUGAAGAGGAUGUCAGUUACUAUACAUGUAAGACAGAAAUAUCAAUGGGAAGACUUAAUUAACUUCGCAGAUCUUAUUUUCUCCCAUUUUACAGGCCUUAACCUCUAAGAAAGAAAAUUCCAACUGUUAACCUCAUGAAGUGGCAGCAUCUAUUGGCCCAGUCUGGAACUGCAACAAAGUUCUACAAGGCAAUGAAGGGAAGAGGAAAAAGUAAAACAAGUUUCAGGAGGGAAGUGGCAGAACACGAAGCUUGGAGAUUGAUGCUCGUGCCAGGAAAGGCAGGAUCUGGACCAUAUGGGAUCAAGUUUAGAAGGGCAGCUGCUUCAUUAAAGACAGAGAGAGAGAAAAUGAGAGCAAGAGCGAGAGCCAGGAGAGAGAGAGGUAGUUUUUCUUGUCAAUCAGACCUCAGGAUUCUUAGAGAGACGGGGUCAGCAAAUGCUGAUUAGCUUUGCAGUCUUUAAAGAUUCGUAAGGAACUUAGGUAGCAGGGCCGGGCUGAUGAUGGAAAACAAUACAACAUUUUCAAAAAUGC
rnacentral:lncRNA from 1 species